UGGUGACAAAAGAAUUUGAACAUACAAAACAAAUGAUGCACAAUGCAGUUGCUCACCACAUGCCAACUGAUGCCCAGCCACUUCCCAUGCAGUGGUCCCC